GGUUCCUUAGCCAAAAGGGCCACUGAAAUGAAAUUAUAACUGUGAACAGUUGAAGGAGGCUUUAUUAGAUAAAAACUAGGGCUCACGUGGAACAAACUUCAUCUGUUUGGAAAGAACCCUUAAGGAUUUCCUUUUGCUGUCCUCACUCUGUUACUUUCAAGCUUAUAAUCGCCUUUUUUAUUCAUUUGAUUAAGGAUAUUUUAGCCAUUUUCAUUUCCAUCCAUUAUAUAUUUAUAUUAUAUAUUUUCUUGGUGCAAUGAAGGAAAAUGCGGUUAUCGUUUGUGUGUUGUAAACAAGUGGGUCAGAGGUCAAAAUUAUCUUACCUAGUCAUUCUAUGCUUUCAGGCGUAGUGGGAUAUAUUGCAAAUACCAUAAGUCGAAAACAUCCAAUAAAUAUUCAGUGGUGCGUUCUGAACUCAAGGGAGGGAACUUGAGAACAGCCUUCAGAGAUCCCCUAAAGUCGGAAGGGAUUUACUUGGUGGAUCCUCUUGCUGACAAAACAAACUUUAAAAAGUCCAAGCAACCAGUGAAGCUAUUGUCUGUGGAGGGAUUGAAAAAGGCCUUAAGUAAUGCAGGUAAAGUGACAACUAAUACCCACUCACAAGGAAUAAGAUUCCUCGCAGAAGUGACAGGCAAAAUGCACCCGAAAAAUUCAAGUAAUGAGUCUGCAGUGCCAAAUCAUCUAAAAAGUUGUGCCGAGAAAAGGUUAUCAUCAUCUGCAAAGUUGGCUCCAACUAUCGUUGUAAAGAAUCAACAACCAGAGACAAAGAGAAAGAAAACAGAGCAGGCUUCAGAAAAGAUGAUUGAAUUGGAUAUUAUUAGUUCAGAAGAAGAUUGAGAGGCACCUGUUCUUAUCGACUACUGAUAAUUGUGCCAAAUUCAUUCCUGCAUGCAUCCUUUGGUGGCUUGUCCUUUGUUGGGCAACAUUUCUCCAAUUGAAUUCAAAGGGCAGGAAACCAAUACUAGUGCCUCAUCAUUGGUUUAAUUUCCAAGGAAUUGAACUUUGUUCUGACUCAAGUGGUUUUCUUCUCAGACACCUGAAUUUUCCUUGGUGGGAGAGAUUUGCCUUCACUAUUUUUUUGACCUUGUUCUGGACAGUUAGCAUAGGAUUCUCUGACUAAACUUUGUUACUGUUGGGGAAAUCUCUCUAUUGAAGUGCUUAUUAUAAC